UUCCUACGGGGGGCAGCAGUGAGGAAUAUUGGUCAAUGGACGGAAGACCGAACCAGCCAUGCCGCGUGCAGGAGGACGGCUCUAUGAGUUGUAAACUGCUUUUGUACAAGGGUAAACCUGAAUACGUGUAUUCAGCUGAAAGUACUGUACGAAUAAGGAUCGGCUAACUCCGUGCCAGCAGCCGCGGUAAUACGGAGGAUCCACGCGUUAUCCGGAUUUAUUGGGUUUAAAGGGUGAGUAGGCGGAUUGAUAAGUUAGUGGUGAAAUGUGCGAGCUUAACUCGGGAACUGCCUCUAAUGCUGUUG
rnacentral:rRNA from 1 species